rnacentral:lncRNA from 1 species
ACUCCCUUUGUUCCACAUAUGCAGCUCCUUUCCAUUAAUGAACUGCAGAUGAUUUAGUUUCCACCUUUUCUAGAACUACUGCAGUAGUUAUUUUGAUAAAGAAAUAAAAUAAUAAGGAAAUAAAAGCUUAUAACAAAAGUAUUGAGCAGAAGAAGUUAUAGAACAAGAACAGUGAAGGAAAAUAAAAUAGCCGAAAGUUUUUUUUGAAUGAAAAUAUGGCGACUGAAAUUACAAGAGAAAACAGAGCAACUUUACUCUGUAUAUAUAGACUCCUACUACAAAUAUAAAUCCUAAAUUUAACGUUUUGUUCCACCUAACUUACUCCUAAAAUUACUAACUUCCGGGCCACUUUAUAAGGUGAACAAACCUCACCUAAUAAUAAUUUUGACCUGGUAAAUGCAGUAAACUAAAUAAGACAGUAAGUUGCACUAAUUUGUUACACCCCCUAGUGCAAGCUCACGAUGAACUACUCCCAGAGCAUCUCGAAAGUAUUGAAACUUAGACUUCUCCAAAGCUUUAGUGAAUAUAUCCGCAACUUGAGCGUUGGUGCGAACAUUUGUCAGUUCAGUCUCUUGACUUAAGACUUUCUCACGAACAAAGUGAUGGCGGAUCUCAAUAUGCUUCGUUUGAGCAUGAAAAACUGGAUUUGACGCAAGUUUGAUGGCACUUUCGUUGUCUCAGUUGAUUUGCAUAGCAUAGUCUACUUUCUGGUACAUAUCAUUGAUUAGCCUUUUCAACCAAAUGCACUCUUGUGCAGCCAUGGUUGCAGCAAUAUAUUCAGCUUCAGUGGUAGACAAAGAAACAACAUCUUGCUUCUUGAUGCACCGAGACACCACUGCUGACCCGGUACUAAAACAGUAACCUGAAGUCGAGCGACGAUCAUGUGUAUCACCUGCCCAAUUUGCAUCAGUAAAUCCACUCAAUAAAAAAGUAUCACACCUCUUGUACCUAAGUCCAUGACUAAGAGAUCCUUUCACAUAGCGCAAAAUCCUCUUUGCGGUAUUUAAGUGAGAAGUUGUUGGAUUUUGCAUAAAUUGAGAAACAACACCAACAGAGUAAGAUAUUUCUGGCCUUGUGAUAGUCAGAUAAAUCACAACCAGUAAAAAUAAUAUCAGCAGAUAUUUCUUUUACAUUUUCAAGCACCUUCACAUCAGUAGGACCAAACAAUACAUAUUUUCCAGAAUCAGUAAUUUGAGGAACAAAGACUAGAUUUUUCUUCAAACCUGGAACAUGAUAAACGUCCUGCAACUUGAUACUUUUGGAUUUAUCAUCAGCAACCUCAAUCGUCACAACUCCUUCUUUUGCUACUGGAUAUGUCGAGUUAUCUGCUGUGAUAAUGACUUGAUCUCCAUGAUUUUCUCGCAUCUUCGAGAAUAGAGAAUCAUCUCCAGUGACAUGAUGAGAGCACCCUGAAUCAACGAUCCACUCUUCCCUCUUAUUGUUGUUAGCAUAAUUGACAAAAUCUUGUGCUGACUUUUGUUCAACAGCUUCGAUGCUAAAACAUUGUUCCCAUUUCAUUUGCUCAUAUCCGUCAUUGGUGCACGCAACAUUGGCUUUAGAAAGUUUUAUUCGACAGUUUUUCUUGAUAUGCUCAAUUUUCCCACAUCUGUGGCACUUCUUGUUUUUAUGUGAAUUUCCACCUUUUUCCGUGGUUGUUUCUUCUUCUUUAUUUUUGUUCCAAGUUGAUGUAUUCUUCUUGUUCGACAUCUCUUUAGAAAGUAGAACGUCUUCAGUUUCAAGAUUCUUAGCCAUUUGUUUAGCUAAAGCUUCUUGAUUAGAAAGCAUGUUCUCCAAUUCCUCAACAGAUGGUUGUUGCGGCCAUCCUUGAAUGGAAGUGACAAAAGGACCGUACUCCUUUUUCAAUCCACGAAUAAGAUAGCGUCGUAGGCGCGACUCACUAAUCUUCUCUUCCGGAUCAAUCUCUGAAAUUUCAGCACAGUACUUUUAACUCGCAAAAAGUAAUCUAAGAUAGACAUACCUCCCUGUUGUAACAUUGCCAACUCAUUCUCCAAUAGUUGCAGCCUUGCUGUAUUUUUCUUGGGAAACAACCUUUCGAGCGUGUCCCAAACUUCUUUUGGAGAGACAACAUCACGAACAUGAUCAAUAAACUCCUUGCUGAUAGAAGUCCUCACAGCAAAGAGUGCUUUUCCGCACUUGAUCUUCCAUUUCCUUCGUGAUUCGGCAUUCUCAAGAGUAUUGGCUGGUAUUAUUGAAUCAGUUCCUACAAUUAAAUCCCACAGAUCCUGACCUUGAAGGUAUGCUUCCAUACACAUUCUCCAAUACUUGUAGCUAGUGCCUAUAAGUUUUUCUAUUCCAUAUUGAGUAUUUCCCCCGUUUGAGGCCUCCAUUGCUACAAACGACAAAAGCUUUCUCUUCACACUUUUCAAACUUCUCCAACAGAGUAAACUGAUAGACAAGAAGAUAGAAAAGAAAAAAAAAUUCCUCCCUUCAACCUGGCUUUGAUACCAUAUAACAAAAGUAUUGAGCAGGAGAAGUUAUAGAACAAGAACAGUGAAGGAAAAUAAAACAGCCGAAAGCUUUUUUUUAAUAGAAAAUAUGGCGAUUGAAAUUACAAGAGAAAACAGAGCAACUUUACUCUGUAUAUAUAGACUCCUACUACAAAUAUAACUCCUAAAUUUAACGUUUUAUUUCACCCAACUUACUCCUAAAAUUACUAACUUCCGGGCCACUUUAUAAGGUGAACAAACCUCACCUAGUAAUUAUUUUGACCUGGUAAAUGCAGUAAACUAAAUAAGACAGUAAGUUGCACUAAUUUGUUACAAAGCUGCAGUAUUUAUCCUUGAUGUGAAAUCGAGUUAUAAAAUAUGACUCAUCAUGAAAUAAGUGUACAACUAAAUCAACUUUAGCGUUGCAAACUACUAUUAUCAUUCAGAAAUAUUAUGAAGAUGAAAAAUAUCUAUCUUUAAACAAUUUAUUAUCAUUGUGAAAUAAAAUCCUUCUUUCUGCAAUUCCCUCUGUUGCUGCUAUAUUUAUGUUCUUAGCAGGGGUGGAUCUUUUAUUUGAUAAUUAGAUCUAGUACCAAUCC